rnacentral:rRNA from 1 species
UCAGUCAGCGCAGCGUAAUAAUAGAAACUAACCAGGAUUCCCUUAGUAACGGCGAGUGAACUGGGAUGCCAAUAUAUAAUAUAUACCUCGCGUGCAUAAAUUAGCCCGUCGAUACUAUCCUAGCGUAUGUCACCGGUCUUCGGGUCGGUACUCAAAUACGCGGGAAUUGUAGCAUCGUAAUAAUUAAAAAUAUACAGCACACACACACACACAUACAUAAGAACCCACGCCAACCUGCGUACACCACUUGUAAACACACAGCGUCUCCGCGUUGGAAAGCAAGUAUAUAUCCUCUUUGGAUAUGCCAUAGAGUGUGACAACCACGUUUCACCCAUAUGAUAGUUACGCACACACACACACAUACACCAAUGGCGCGGCGUGCGAGUGCACAACGUAUAUAUACUAUAACCUGAGUCGAGUUAUUUGGGACUAUAGCUCUAAUAGUUUGGUUGGUGGUAAUGACACAUCAAAGGCUAAAUAUUGGUUAGUCGAUGCAUAUUGCGGAGACCGAUAGCAUACAAGUACCGUAAGGGAACGAUGAAAAGCACCCUAUUGAGUUCACGGCGCAGACUCGACAUUCGUGUCUUGUCCAGCGCCCAACAACUACAGUGGGAGUGAAAGAGAGAGU